rnacentral:tRNA from 1 species
GAAACCCUCUGCAAGUUAGGCUUCUAAAGCUAUCGCCCUUUCACGGCGCAGACGCGGGUUCAAAUCCCGCCGGGGACGCCA